rnacentral:rRNA from 1 species
GGGGAUAACCAUUGGAAACGAUGGCUAAUACCGCAUAAUGCCUUCGGGCCAAAGAGGGGGACCUUCGGGCCUCUCGCGUCAGGAUAUGCCCAGGUGGGAUUAGCUAGUUGGUGAGGUAAUGGCUCACCAAGGCGACGAUCCCUAGCUGGUCUGAGAGGAUGAUCAGCCACACUGGAACUGAGACACGGUCCAGACUCCUACGGGAGGCAGCAGUGGGGAAUAUUGCACAAUGGGCGCAAGCCUGAUGCAGCCAUGCCGCGUGUAUGAAGAAGGCCUUCGGGUUGUAAAGUACUUUCAGCAGUGAGGAAGGUUCAUNCNNUAAUAGCGUAUGGAUUUGACGUUAGCUGCAGAAGAAGCACCGGCUAACUCCGUGCCAGCAGCC